GCCUGGGUGGCUCAGUCGGUUGAGCGUCCGACUUCAGCUCAGGUCACGAUCUCACAGUUCGUGAGUUCGAGCCCCGCGUCAGGCU
rnacentral:tRNA from 1 species